GUUCUGCUCUGAUCCCACUCCAACUGCAGUCACCUGUGUGCCGCCCGCCUGUGGUCCUGGGAGCCCGAGGCCAGCCCGGCUGCCGCAUCCUGCUCUUCGCACUCCAGGUGUCUGCCCCCAGCCUCUGCGCCUGUGAGACCUUCUCUCUGGAAAAUUCUUCUCUGAUAUCCACAUGCCUUUGCAUUGCCUCCCUGUCUCGCCCUGAAAGGCUGCCCAGGCUUUGCUGAGGUUCUGCAGACCUUCAGCACCUGCAAGGGGAUGCUGGGCGAGAUCCUGUCUGCAUUCGAGUUCAUGGAUGCUGUGUGCAUGCAGCUGGUCGGGCGCCAUCUCCACCUGGCCAGCCCGGUGCAAGAGAGUCCGUUUUACGUCCUCAUCGAGACUUCAGGCUCCAACGCAGGCCAUGACGCUGAGAAGCUGGGCCGCUUCCUGGAGCACGUGCUGGGCUCCGGCCUGGUGACCGAUGGGACCAUGGCCACUGACCAGAGGAAAGUCAAGG
rnacentral:sRNA from 1 species